rnacentral:rRNA from 1 species
GACGAACGCUGGCGGCGCGCUUAACACAUGCAAGUCGAGCGAGAACCAGGACUUCGGUCCUGGGGACAGCGGCGAACGGGUGAGUAACACGUGGAUAACCUGCCCUCGGCACCGGGAUAGCCCGGGGAAACCCGGAUUAAUACCGGAUGGCCCUUCCGGCUCACGAGCCGGCCGGAAAAGGUAGCUUCGGCCUCCGGCCGAGGAUGGGUCCGCGGCGGAUUAGCUUGUUGGUGGGGUAACGGCCUACCAAGGCUCCGAUCCGUAGCUGGUCUGAGAGGACGAUCAGCCACACUGGGACUGAGACACGGCUCAGACUCCUACGGGAGGCAGCCGUGGGGAAGCGUGCGCAAUGGGCGAAAGCCUGACGCGGCGACGCCGCGGGAGGGAGGAAGGCCUUCGGGUUGUAAACCUCUUUCAGGAGGGACGAAGCUACUCGGGUGAAUAGCCCAGAGGGUGACGGUACCUCCAGAAGAAGCCCCGGCUAACUACGUGCCAGCCGCCGCCGUAACAC